CCUACGGGAGGCAGCAGUGGGGAAUCUUGCGCAAUGGGCGAAAGCCUGACGCAGCCAUGCCGCGUGAAUGAUGAAGGUCUUAGGAUUGUAAAAUUCUUUCACCGAGGACGAUAAUGACGGUACUCGGAGAAGAAGCCCCGGCUAACUUCGUGCCAGCAGCCGCGGUAAUACGAAGGGGGCUAGCGUUGCUCGGAAUUACUGGGCGUAAAGGGAGCGUAGGCGGAUAGUUUAGUCAGAGGUGAAAGCCCAGGGCUCAACCUUGGAAUUGCCUUUGAUACUGGCUAUCUUGAGUACGGAAGAGGUAUGUGGAACUCCGAGUGUAGAGGUGAAAUUCGUAGAUAUUCGGAAGAACACCAGUGGCGAAGGCGACAUACUGGUCCGUUACUGACGCUGAGGCUCGAAAGCGUGGGGAGCAAACAGGAUUAGAUACCCUGGUAGUCCACGCUGUAAACGAUGAGUGCCAGUUGUCGGCAUGCAUGCAUGUCGGUGACGCAGCUACGCAUAAGACACUCCGCCGUCGGGGAGGUACGGUCGGCGAGAAGUUAAAACGUUAAAAGUAAGUUAGUACGGCGUGAGACGUCGCCGACGGACGACGACGAGGGAGGAGG
rnacentral:rRNA from 1 species